UGUAGGGCUCUUUCAGGAUCUCUAGACAUGGGUAGGAGUGUGUCCCGCUGGGUUCCUGUGCCAGCAGGCCUGCUCAUGGACUAUGGCUGGGACAGGCUGGAGCCCAGGUUCAGGGCCCUUUCAGAAUCCAUAGUCUCAGCAAGUUUGGCAGGCUUACCUCCAGGGGCUCCCAGACUGCAGCUGCGAAGAGAAGGUGUCCAUUCAUGGUCUAUUUCAGAGUCUACAGCUGGGAGCAAGAUAACAGCACCCCAGUAAUUCUUGGGGCACCGAUCUUUUCCUCACUGGAUAGGAGUUUUCGUGGAAUGCGCAGUCAAGAUACCCCCACCUCCCCAAGGCAUCUAAGCUAAGAUAAUCAUAUGCCCAUUCUCUGGAAUUUUCAUCUGACACUGAGAAAUCUGCAGACUGAAUGGAUGGUAGGGAUUUAUUUGUCUCCAUAAGACGUGUGAAAGACACUGCUGCUUAGUUCCUGCUGACUGGAUUCCUACAACCCUGUCUGUUCUACCACCGGCGUGCAUUCAGAAAUGAUGCACUUGUCACCACUGACAUUAGGACCUCUCUGGCUCACACUGCAUCUUGUCCCUUCCGGGUUUCUGUAGCAGCUUCUUCACCAUCUCCCUGCUUCUACUUUUGCCCCCACAAAAUCUAUUUCCCUUGUGUAUUCAGAGGGCUUUUCUAAAGAUACAAACUGUUUUAUUCCCUUGCAAUUCCCUUGCAGUGGUUUCCUUUUUUUUUUUUUUUUAAAGAUUUUAUUUAUUUAUUUGAGAGAGAGAGAAUGAGAGACGGAGAGCAUGAGAGGGAGGAGGGUGAGAGAGAGAAGCAGACUCCCCGCCAAGCAGGGAGCCCGAUGCGGGACUCGAUCCCGGGACUCCAGGAUCACGACCUGAGCCGAAGGCAGUCGCUUAACCAACUGAGCCACCCAGGCACCCACCUUGCAGUGGUUUCCAAUCGCAUUUAGAAUAAAAUGUGAACUCCUUACCGCCUAGACUUUAUCUGACCCCUGCCUACCUCCCCAGACCCACUUCCUAUCACUCUUAACCUGACUCAUUAACCUCCAACCACCCUGGAAAAAGAGAGAGGAGGUGAAGAGUUAUCUUAAGAGACUAAAUUAUUUAAGCAAUCAAGUGACUUUCAACCAGUGGGAAUUUUACCAUUCAUUCAACGCAUCAGUUUUGAAGCCUUCUUGGUCUCUUCUAGGCAGUGGGGAUAGCACAGCAGAUGAGACAGACACAGUCCCUGAGUUUACAUCGCUGGUGUUCUUUCUUUAUUUCUUUUAAGACUUAUUUAUUUUAGAGAGAGCACGAGAGCAGGGGAAGUGGGGGAGGGACGGCGGGGAGAGAGAGAAUCUCAAGCAUGCUCUCUGCUGAGCAUGGAGCCCAAUGUGGGGUUCCGUCCCAGGACCCUGAGUUCAUGACCUGAGCCAAAAUCAAGAGUCAGAUGCUUAACUAAUGAGCCACCUAGGUGCCCCUACAUUGCUUGUGUUCUAACGGAAAAUAGUUAAAUUAAGAAUAUUUAACAGAGGCCACCCUAGGCUAGUGGUUGCUCUCUAAGAGACACUGCAGAGAUGCUCUAAUGAAUGGCAGAACCAUUUAAAUAAGUACACACCCUAUCAAAAAGACUGCACAUAAGAAAAUGCUCAUUUGGGUUUAUAAACUCUAGUGUGUUCAUUUUAUUUUUUUUAUUUUUUAUUUUUUUAAAGAUUUUAUUUAUUUAUUUGAGAGAGAGAGAAUGAGAGAGAGCACAUGAGAGGGGGGAGGGUCAGAGGGAGAAGCAGACUCCCCACCCAGCAGGGAGUCCGAUGCGGGACUCAAUCCAGGGACUCCAGGAUCAUGACCUGAGCCGAAGGCAGUCGCUCAACCAACUGAGCCACCCAGGCGCCCUAGUGUGUUCAUUUUAAAAAUCAUGUUUUAUAGCCAUUUGUAGUCUAAUUUCAUACACAAGUAUGGGUAAUGGGGCUUUUAUAUUUGCAAGAAGAAAUCAUUCAUGGGAAAAUACUACUACGUUGAAAGAAAACCAUACGUUCCAUGUCAUAAAUGGUAACAUGUCAUAAAUGGUAAUAUUGGAGGGGCACCUGGGUGGCUCAGUAGUUAAGCAUCUGCCUUCGGCUCAGGUUGUGAUCCCAGGGUCCUGGGAUCGAGUCCCCGCAUCUGGCUCCCUGCUCAGCGGGAAGCCUGCUUCUCCCUCUCCCGCUCCCCCUGCUUGUGUUCCUGCUCUCGCUCGCUCUCUCUCUUUGUCAAAUAAAUAAAUAAAUAAAAUCUUUAAAAAAAAUGGUAACAUUGGAAAGGCAAUCUUAAUUUCUCUUAGAUGACAAUAGACCCAUCUUUAGAAAAAGAGAAACUGAGGAAAACAUUUUAAGAUCACACAGUGAAUGUAGGGGCAAAUAUGAUGAAUUACAUGAUCUUACUGUUGGAUCCUCCCCAAUAAAGACAGCCACGGGAUUUUGCAAAGUGGGAUUUGCAGAAUCUCACUUACAUAAUCAAAAAGAUAGGAAACAAUCUUAAAAAGUUACAACAUUUCAAACACACAUACACACGCAUCCCCAAAUGUUGAGUUAUCUGUUAACCAGUUAUUUCAAUUUUUUAUUUCUGAUGAUCUGUAGUUCCAAUUUUUCUAUAAUAAAUCUGUAUGAUUUAUAUAAUUAAAAUCAAGUUAAUUUAAAGAGAAAAAAUAACUUAUUUCUAAUGACCAUAUUUUUUAGCCUUUUCUUUGGAAAGACACCCAAGGAGAGGCUUGUUUGUACCUUAGUAAGAUUUGAUAAAAUUCUUGAGACACUGAACAUGGUCAGGUCAGGCUUCUAAAGUUUCUUGAAGCUCUGGCCUUUUCUCCAAUGUCAUGAAUGCUUCUUGAGUAACAGAAUUGCGGUAUCUAAAUUUCUCUUGCAUUUCAAUCAACUGAAGUGCCCUUUGCCUCGUAUCCUUGGGCAUCUGGGGCCAACAGUGUUGUGGUUCUUUUUUCCGCAAGUAAAUGGCCUGUAAUAUUUUUCUAGCUCCGGGCGCCUGGGUGGCUCAGUUGAUUAAGUGACUGCCUUCGGCUCAGGUCAUGAUCCUGGAGUCCCUGGAUCGAGUCCCACAUUGGGCUCCCUGCUCUGCAGGGAGUCUGCUCCUCCCUCUGACCCUCCCCCCUCUCAUGUGCUCUCUGUCUCUCUCAUUCUCUCUGUCUCAAAUAAAUAAAUAAAAUCUUUAAAAAUAUAUAUAUU